GGCCCGGUAGCUCAGUUGGUAGAGCAGAGGAUUGAAAAUCCUCGUGUCGGUGGUUCGAUUCCGCCCCGGGCCACCA
rnacentral:tRNA from 1 species